rnacentral:snoRNA from 1 species
UAAUUUUUGUGAUGAAUUCAUAGUUCAACUGAUUUAGUAUGGAGAUUAACAACAAAAUAGUCUUUCACCCCUAUCUGAUUGCGUUC